GAAAAAUAAUUUAAUGUGUAGAAAGUUAUUAAUUGAAUGCAGAAAAAUAAUUUAAUAUCUGAAAUACUAACAAAAUAUAUUAGAAAUCGUUAACCAAAUUGAAUUGGAUUGUCCGAAAUCAAUUUUAAUAGUUAAUAACCUAAAGGCAUGGUUUCUAAGUGUCUAGAUUGUUUGCCUAAGUGAGAAGAAUUAAAUUAACUUGUUAAAUUAUUAAAUAAUCAUAUAGCCAUGAUAUCUAAGUGCAAAAACAAUCAAAUCACAAAAUCCCUGCCCCCCCUAUAAGAAGUCUCCAUAACUUCUACUUUCACAUAGCGUUCAUACAAUAAUAUUACAGACCGAUGAAUGAAAGAAAAACAGAGACUAAACUAUGAAGAAAUAGGCUGCCCUUUCUCAAAUUUCAGGGCAACUCUUCAAAUCCCACACAUUCUUCAAGGACACCUGUUAGAUACAAGAAAAAUAGCGGAACAAGUACAGAAAGAAUCAAAGUACACCAAAACAUGAUCCCAAACAGAGAAAACAAUGAAGUAAAAGCAUAGCAAACAGAAAACACAAACAUUGAACAAUUACUUUGAAUUAGUUCUUAUAGGCAUGUUUUCUAACAUCAUAAAGUCAUCGUAUAAGAUAUGAAAAUUACAUCGAUAGAAGCUUACUGGUAAGCCGUAAAGAAAAUAAUAAAGAGGCCUUAGCAAAGUAAUUGAAGUAAUAGGGACAAAUUCGAAUGCCUUCUUCAAAAACCAAAAAUGCAAAAGAAAUUGAAAAUAUUUGUUAAUUUUUUGUAUAGAGAAAUAUAUCUAUUAGUGAGUAAAUAGUAGAAUGAAAGGUGUCCAAUAUGAAUGAAGAGGUUGUGCUUAUAUAGUGUGAAAAAGUUAAAUCAACCCAAUCAUAAAAGGAAAAAAAUGUUUAAUGUAAUCAAUCAAUGCAAAAAUAAAUCCAUAAAUAUAAAAAUCACCUUCAUAUCCAAUGAAUAAUAUAAAAUUAGUCAAAGCAGAUAAAAAGGGAAAAAAUCAAUCAUUCGAGAUUUUCUUUCUAGUCUGAGCACUAAUUAAGGUAGCGUUUAUCAAUAUAAAAUCGGUCCAACAUAAAAGAAAAGAAAGGAAAAUAUCAAUCAGCACAAUUUCAUAAAAGUGAGGAUCCAUGUAAAAUUCAAUCAAAGCGAUAAAAGGAAAAAAGAACAUUUAGAAUAAUCAAUUUACGAGAAUCUACUCCCAUAAAAUUAUCCAAAAGGAUCGAAAUAAGCCUCAUGUCCAAAUCAAAAAUAAAAGGCAAAGAGAAUCAAUAACAUACCCAAAAUACGUAAUUGUAAGAAAUAUGAGCAAACCCAUAUUUUUAAUUAAAAAGGACAAAUAAAGAUAAGAACCUUGAAUAAUCAAGAUUUAUCAAUCAAUCAUCACGAUUGUCAACAAAUAUGAUAUAUGGAGCAAUUCUUUAUAAUCGAAUCAUUUACCACCUUAAGAAAGUCAUAUUCUUAAACCAAAAGCAUGACUACAUCGAUCCAUGUAGAAAGAACCAUAUUCCACAAAUCACACAAAUCAGUAUUCAAAAUUUUUUAAGGUUAAAUGCAUGUUCAUCAAAAUUGGGCAUUUUCACAUAUGUCGGUCUAAGCACAUAAACACACAUGAGUUUGGAAGAUUCAACUCAACAUUCACUAUCAUAUAUCAUCAAUUUUGAAUCUAAUAAAAUCAGUCAGAAUAGAAAAAAAGAAAAGAAAGAGUAGAAGACAAUAAUAAACUGGCAUGGAAUUAAACUAAGAAGUCAAACCUGGACAGAUUCUUAUGAAUCCAUUGCAACAUUUUUGGCAAAAGCAAAAUCGUACAGUAACGACUAAUAUUGUUGUCCUUUCACCGUCACUUUACCCGCAGAUAAAGGAACAAAAAAGGAAGGCGGCGCCUGGUGGAGGCUUAUUGGUUGACAAACUGGUUAGCUCUCCUGUUCAUCGGUGGUGUCAUGGUGAAAUACGGAGGAGCAGCUGCAGCGGGGUGAGCUGGUUCGCGAGGCUGAUACUGGUUGCUGUGUCGACUGGAGAGGUGGGUUCUGGCAGUUGGGUAGCGACACUGGUAGGAGGUGAUUGGUUCGCCUUUGGUGCGACUGAUGGCUGGUUCAUUGGCGAGAGGUGAAGCGACAACAGUAAUGGGUUCUAUCGGUGAUUGUUAUCGGUCUGUGGGCAUCAGAGAUAACGUUGUUGUGUUCGUCGGUGGGGGAGGAGAGUUUGCUGGUGGCGUGGAGCAAUAAUCGGAGGGAGAGAGAAAGAAACAGUAGAGGGAGAGGUGAGAUGUGGCUAUUUGAGAGAAUAGGUUAGGGCUUUGAUUAAAAAGAAAAGAAAGAGGUGG
rnacentral:lncRNA from 1 species